rnacentral:rRNA from 1 species
GACGAACGCUGGCGGCGUGCUUAACACAUGCAAGUCGAACGGAAAGGCCCUGCUUUUGUGGGGUGCUCGAGUGGCGAACGGGUGAGUAACACGUGAGUAACCUGCCCUUGACUUUGGGAUAACUUCAGGAAACUGGGGCUAAUACCGGAUAGGAGCUCCUGCUGCAUGGUGGGGGUUGGAAAGUUUCGGCGGUUGGGGAUGGACUCGCGGCUUAUCAGCUUGUUGGUGGGGUAGUGGCUUACCAAGGCUUUGACGGGUAGCCGGCCUGGGAGGGUGACCGGCCACAUUGGGACUGAGAUACGGCCCAGACUCCUACGGGAGGCAGCAGUGGGGAAUAUUGCACAAUGGGCGGAAGCCUGAUGCAGCAACGCCGCGUGCGGGAUGACGGGCUUCGGGUUGUAAACCGCUUUCGCCUGUGACGAAGCGUGAGUGACGGUAAUGGGUAAAGAAGCACCGGCUAACUACGUG